UCAGAGCUGACAUCCUACGGCUCAACCGUAGAACUGCCUUGAUACUGGAGGUCUUGAGUCAUGGAGAGGUUGCUGGAAUUCGUGGUGUAGCGGUGAAAUGCGUAGAUAUCACGAGGAACACCAGUUACGAAGGUGGGCAACUGGACAGGUACUGACGCUGAGGCACGAAAGCGUGGGGAGCAAACAGGAUUAGAUACCCUGGUAGUCCACGCCGUAAACGAUGAUCACUCGGUGUUGCCGACUUGUCGGCAGUGCGUAAGCUAACGCAUUAAGUGAUCCACCUGGGGAGUACGAUCGCAAGGUUGAAACUCAAAGGAAUUGACGGGGGCCCGCACAAGCGGUGGAGCAUGUGGCUUAAUUCGAUGCAACGCGAGGAACCUUACCUGGGCUCGAACGCUACCGGACAGCCGCCCGAAAGGGGGCGUUCCUUCGGGACUGGUAGUGAGGUGCUGCAUGGCUGUCGUCAGCUUGUGUCGUGAGAUGUUGGGUUAAGUCCCGCAACGAGCGCAACCCCUAUUGUUAGUUACCAGCGGGUAAAGCCGGGGACUCUAGCGAGACUGCCUGCGCAAGCAGCGAGGAAGGUGGGGACGACGUCAAGUCAUCAUGGCCCUUAUGCCCAGGGCUGCACACGUGCUACAAUGGAUGGUACAAUGGGCAGCCACCCCGCGAGGGGGAGCUAAUCCAGAAAGCCAUCCUCAGUUCGGAUCGGAGUCUGCAACUCGACUCCGUGAAGUCGGAAUCGCUAGUAAUCGCGUAUCGGCAAUGACGCGGUGAAUACGUUCCCGGGCCUUGUACACACCGCCCGUCAAGCCAUGGAAGCCGGGGGCACCCGAAGCCCGUGACCCAACUUCGGAGGGAGCGGUCGAAGGUGAAUCUGGUGACUGGGGCUAAGUCGUAACAAGGUAACCGUA
rnacentral:rRNA from 1 species